rnacentral:lncRNA from 1 species
CCUAAACAAAUUAUAGGAAAAGAUCCACUUAGAGGAAUGUUUUAUUUUCAGGCGUGUUGUGAGCUAUCAGUCAUCUUGUCAUGACUUACUGUGAGGAUCUAUCAGAAAAGAAAUCCUGCGAAGCGGAAAACUGGUCUCCACCGUUCUUCUUCAGUGUCGACACAAAGGGGCCAUUGAGGCAGCAGGGUUGCUCUCGGUCGUUUCAUGAGUUUCAUCAUAAAGAUGAACAAGGAUACCUUCAUUGGAUGGAUAGAUGAAGUGAUCUCAAAAGUCUUUGAACUAUUGACCAGUCAGAGUAGUAGAACAAUUUCCAGACGCUCCGCUGGAUUGUCUAUUUUGAUCCAUCGUUUGGCUCUCAACGAUACCCGCCCGUACCAAAAUAUUAUUGAAAAAAUCGUUCCUAUUUUACUGGAUAUUGCUGCAGUACCAUUUGAAAAAAAUGAUCUUGUUUUGAAAGAUGUGCAACAAGCUCAAGCAUUACAUCUCUUAUGUAAAAUCGUUGAAGAUUCAUCGCUACGACUGUCUGUUGCUCCAUUUUUGGAGCGAAUUGUCUUGCAGUUAUGUUCCAGUAUUGCGUCACCUGUCUGGGGUAUCAGAAAUGCAGCGCUACAACUUUGCGGAGCAGUCAUCCUUAAGAUUCUGGGCCGCAAUAAAACCCAAGAGACUGAAUGUCUUGUCAACACCACCUUCGAACAGCUUUUUUCUCAUCAUGGAUACUUAGUAGAUAUCUUCCAAAAUUCUCUUGCCAAUCCUGCCAAAGAAGACUCCGACAAAAUCGUUUUUCUAUUGACAAUCUUAUCAUACACAUCCAUCCAAACAGACGUUAAGUCAACCAGAUCAGAUAAUCAGCACAGAUUUUUGCUUCAAUUGAGGGAGCUUGUGUACCAGUUUAUUUCACAUGAGCAUUAUGAAAUUCGCAGACUAGCUGCUUUGUCUUAUGUAAAUCUUUUCCCUGUAUCUAAAUUCAUGUUUGUUGCACAGGAAGCAGUGUUUAAGAUAAGUCUCUCUUUGGGAGUAGAUUUAAAGAUUUUGGUCCCUCAUAUUUUUGAGAAUUCAAUUUUAAGCCCUACGCAACUCAAUUUAUUAAAUACCAUGCCUUAUGAUGAGAAUUUAAUACACGGGUUACUUCUCGUCAUAAAAUUUUCUAUGGUUAAAUUUAAAAAAGAAAACAAUGGUUUUGACAAUGAGCUCCUUUUCUUUAACUUAGUUUACAGCCUUGCCAAUGAAGGUGACUCAAAUUUGUGCUCUGCGCUACAAUCACUCAAAAUUUCAAUGCCUUCCAGUAUCUCUUUAUCAUUCCCUGUGAAAACGGUAGUUCAUGAAAUUUGUUAUUUAGCAGACUUCACAUGUGGACCUGGAAAGACGGACACUUUUUUAGAGACAGAAUUCAGAGCAUUAACUAAAUUCAUUCACACUUACCACCCGCAUGAUCCGAAAUAUGUCGGAGUGAGUGGUUUAUCCGAAAUCAUUUUAAAGUGUCUUGUAGCAAGGCACAGUCCUCGUCACAUGGGUAAUAUUUUCUGGUUCUGCUCAAUGAAUUAUAGUCACAACUUACUUGAUGUUUGCCUUAAAGAAAUGAAGCUCGACGAAAGCUCUGCUGCGGAUAUGCUUUCUCGAUGCUUUAAAUUCCUAUCAGUAGGUUUCUUCUCAGACGACGUUGAGUCUAGAAUUAUCAACUUGACUGUGAUCGAAUUCAUAAUUUCCAUCUUAGACGAUUUCCAAAGUAGCUUAGUUGGUAGAGUAGAGGUCAAGAUGGACAAUAUAAAAACGUUCUGGUUAAGUUUCCAAACUGAGACUGACUUUCUGUCGAAAACAAUCCUAGUCACUUGUGGAUCGUUGUACAUGUGCUGCGACCUUGAUAGUAACGAUCUUACCCUUAAAGAAAUCCUCUCUAGUUUAUUAAUUUACUUACCAAAACUUAAAACCGUAAAUUUUGAAGCAGUCCGGCUUGAUAUUGCUAAGUCGUUGUUUUACCUUUCCAAGCUGGUUUCGCCAGCGAAUGAAGACAUUGUUUAAUUUGGGAGUCAAUAGUUUAUUUGUUACAAGAUGAAGAAUUCAGAAUCAGACAAACAGUGAGCAAAGUAGUCAUGUCUAUAGAAAACAAGGGAACGUCGGUUAAUCCUUUUGUUGCUCUAUUGAGAAUCAUCAAUCCAAAUUGCAUGUUAAAGUUAAUGAAACCAGAAUUGGUUUUCAGGUGCUAUUGUGCCAAAUUUACUAGUAUAACUAGUGCUGGCAGUAAUGAAUCCCCUAUGAAAACUGAUGUGAAUGAUCCUCUUUCUAAUCCGUUUAAUUACACACAUUAUAACUUUUACUUGGAGGAACCUGUUGUUUUAAGAAUGAUAUUUACAAGCUUCUGUUUUUUGUUACAAGAAAGUCUAGGUUUGAAAUUGUGCGAUGAAGCUUUAAUUUUGUUUGAGAAAUGGCAACUCACUGUAACAAAACCAAGCACUCUCCCAAUCCUGGAAAAUAAGCCUUUUUAUGAAGAACUAUGUUAUGAACUGCUGCUCAGAAAAGAAUACUCUGAAGUACUUUUUCGUUAUCACUCAUUAUAGACUCAUUUUCUUUAAGGUUGCCAAAUUUAAAAUCUUUACUCCGAUCUGUACUUGUAAAAAGUUUUUCAUCGCCUUCAAUGGUAUCAGAACUUUGUAAGUAGAUGAGUAGCUCUGACCAAAGUUAUCAGGGUUUAUCCAAGAAGCAAUGGACAGAAGGAAAGGUAUGAAUCAAAAUCCCAGGGAACAUUUUGUAUUUUCAACUGUAAAAUUCUGUAUAUCGUGAAAAUAUGUUCUAUAGACGUGUAAUUAAUACCCUGCCUUUAAGCCUUCUAAGAAAAAGGAAAAAAAAUCUGCGCUAAAACAUGACACCAAAGUCGGUCAUUUUGUAUAAUUUUUAAUCAGUUUAUGUCGGUGUCUAAAUCUCUUAAAUGAAAUAAAAAGUUUUACUCUUGCGACUAAAUACAUUCUACAGCCCUGCUCUAGGAGUGAGGCUAAUGUUGGUUGUUCUGUUGGGUUAAAUUUUGUUCAAUAUAAAUUUUUUUUAAAAUACAUACAUUUUUUCCUGUCUAUAGUGGAAUGAUUAUUGCUUUCCUUUUUGAUCACUGAUUCAAAUAUAAUUUUAUACUCUAAGUAAUCUUGACCCUUUAAACUUAAGUUUCAUUUUUUGUUCAUUUUCCAUUUUAUUUUUUAACUCCAUUAAAGGUUUAUAAAAAUGUACGGAAUCAUUGUCCCCCCCCCCCUCCGCCAUCUAUACACAAAGCAGUUACAUUGUGUGCAAAAGUAGAGUGUAGCAAGCUGAUAAGUCAACAAUACCCUUUCCAUGGUUUCAACGGAUCAUGAUGUGAUUCAGAAAAUACUUGUCUUGAUUCGAUUUGUAAUGGUUCAAAAUCCCUGCUGUUGCUUUAAGUACUUACAGGUAUUUGAAAGAAACACAAACAAUAAAUGUUGGUGUUUGAAUUAUUCUGCACAGGAUGGACAGAAUUUUGUAAAACUCUCAGGAAGUUUUCUUUUGAAAAAAUAUCAUAUAAAGUACCUAUCUGUAAUGUCGCAAUCGAGAUAGGAGGGCAUUUUUCGAUUUACAUCUUCGAUAAAAGAUUCAUCAUUUUGAUUUGAGGUUCCCAUUUUUACUACCCUCCCCUUAAUAACUUUUUAACGCAAAUGACUAUCAGAAACUAUUAACGGUCUAUGGCAUAAAUUAUUUUUGAAUCUUCGAUUCUGGGGUGCACAAAUCUGUGAUUUAGUUGUUUAAAAAACAUAGUACUACAUUUUUUUCCAAAACUUUCAAAAUUUUGGUAAUAUUUUUUUCAGUAAAGAAAACAUGAAUAAAAAUUUGCAACAUCAUGUCACAGAAAUACCUCAUUCAAUUUUUAAAAAACCAAAAAAUUCAUAGUCACGAAUAAGUAUAACACCCUGCCAUAGAGGGUUGAAGGGUAGUGCGGUAGAAUCAGAAAGCCCUGUGGCGAGAAAGCUGUUCGGUACACUCUACGAUGACUUGCACUCAGAGUAUAGAAGGGCAUCGUAUGGUGAGGCAGAGUGCAUUAGAGGUGAGAGCGCCUCCAUUUUUUGCUCAUGCAUUAAGGGCAUCCACUGAGCAGGAACAAUUGCAUUAAGGCGUUGUUUUCGAUUAGUAGUGAAAGUCGAUGCUGCAUCUGUAUUUCGCCGUGGCGAAAGCUUCGCUGUUGUUUUAUUUCAUUAAUUUAUUGAUUUAUUUCAUUCUUUUUCGGAAUAAAAACGGAUGAACGCCAUUAGCUUCGCCAAAUGUAGCAGGGUGUCUAGCAUCAGGACUUUCCCGGUACUAUCAGGAUUUAAUGCCCAUUUCAUCAGGAUUGGUUGUAAAAUCAGGAUUUGAGAAAAGUCGGCCGUCCGAUCGGAUUUUUUCAUCGAGCUAUUUUUGUGAAGUUACAUUCGCCUUGCUUGAAGUCAGGAUUUGGACAAAUUAUGAAAUCAGGAUUUAGCAGUCAAAAAUUAGGAAAAAUCAGGAUUUCCCAAAAUGAAAAAACUAGACACCCUGUAUAGCAUGAAAAAAAGUAAUUUUUUUCUCUCCUUCCUCUCUCCAAUUCUUUCC